CAGUCGUCUGCGAAGAAGUCGGAAAGGAAAAUAACGACAAUAUAUUCCUCACUGUGACCCUUCUUCUGAAGAAUUGGACAAAGAUGUAAAAGACGACGACGAUUUUGAUUUCCGAUUAGGAACCAUUAACCAAUCGUGGGCUGGCUGAGAAAAUGGAACGACGCAUCCCCAAAUACAUUAUGGCAGGACACGACAGGGAAUAGUGAAGAGGACUAAUUAACUACGUGCCGCCUCCGUCACAAGACGCCAACCGUAGGGAUGUGAGAUCAUACACGCGGUCCCCAGAAGGGCAGUGUAUCGGAUACAUUAUAAGUAUCACGUGCAGAGGCUGAAAGAUGAUCCACCGGAAGUCUUCCUCGAGAAACAAGAUUCGUCAACAAACUCAAAUUGUCUGUAAGAGCAUCCCAUAAACGUUCGAUGGGGUUUAGAUCUGGAUACCUUUAGAUCUGGAGACAUUUAGAGCCAUGGCACUGCUUGGAUGUUGUGGUUCUUCUAAAAAUCCGUUGUCAGCAUUUUUAUGAUUAAAAAAUGACGUUUGAUUGCAGUGAGCGAAAUAGCCUCUUGCCCGUGGCUAGUAAAAAUCCAGUCGGGCCAGCAAAUCUCCACAGUCACUGGCCCGACUGGCUAGUGAAUUUUCAUGGCUUCAUUUUGUAAAUUCAUAACU